rnacentral:rRNA from 1 species
AGAACGAACGCUGGCGGCAUGCCUAACGCAUGCAAGUCGAACGCUCUUGGGGCUUCGGUCUCAGGGGAGUGGCGCACGGGUGAGUAGCGCGUGGGAACCUGCCCUGUUGUGGGGGAUAACCGAGGGAAACUUCGGCUAAUACCGCAUAAGCCGGUUGUCUUGAAGGAGAUGGCCGGGAAAGAUUUAUCGCGACAGGAGGGGCCCGCGUCGGAUUAGCUAGUUGGUGGGGUAACGGCCCACCAAGGCGGUGAUCCGUAGCUGGUCUGAGAGGAUGAUCAGCCACACUGGGACUGAGACACGGCCCAGACUCCUACGGGAGGCAGCAGUGGGGGAAUAUUGGACAAUGGGCGCAAGCCUGAUCCAGCAAUGCCGCGUGAGUGAUGAAGGCCUUAGGGUUGUAAAGCUCUUUCGCCCGCGACGAUGAUGACGGUAGCGGGAGAAGAAGCCCGGCUAACUUCGUGCCAGCAGCCGC